GGACGCAUAGCUCAGCUGGAUAGAGUACUCGGCUACGAACCGAGCGGUCGGAGGUUCGAAUCCUCCUGUGUCCGCCA
rnacentral:tRNA from 1 species